AUUGAACGCUGGCGGCAGGCUUAACACAUGCAAGUCGAACGAGUGGCGGACGGGUGAGUAAUGUCUGUGAAACUGCCUGAUGGAGGGGGAUAACUACUGGAAACGGUAGCUAAUACCGCAUACCAUCAGAUGUGCCCCGAUGGGAUUAGCUUGUUGGUGGGGUAACGGCUCACCAAGGCGACGAUCCCUAGCUGGUCCGAGAGGAUGACCAGCCACACUGGAACUGAGACACGGUCCAGACUCCUACGGGAGGCAGCAGUGGGGAAUAUUGAACAAUGGGCGCAAGCCGGAUGCAGCCAUGCCGCGUGUAUGAAGAAGGCCUUCGGGUUGGAAAGUACUUUCAGCGGGGAGGCGGUACCCGCAGAAGAAGCACCGGCUAACUCCGUGCCAGCAGCCGCGGUAAUAC
rnacentral:rRNA from 1 species